GAUGGGAGUCGAAAAGAGAAAACACAGAAGGUUGUAUAAAACACUGUUGUCUCCGGAUUACAUCUUCAAACUAAGGGUAACCAUGGCAUUCGUGACAGAGAGGGAGAAACGUUCAUCCGUGUAUAUGGAUCUCAAUGACUGCAAGGACCAGUGCCGACACGGUGGAACCUGCAGGGCUGGAGAUGUGAAGGACAUCGAGGGUGUUGAGGUCUAUGGAGGCUAUAUCAGCCCCACAUAGCUCUGCCUCUGUCAAGGGUCAAAGGUGGACUCCAAUCAAGUUGUAGAAACAUCUCAAGGAUGAUCAAUGGAAACAGGAUGCACCUGAGCUCAAUUUUGAGUCUCAUAGCAAAGGGUCUGAAUACUUAUGUAAAUAAGGUAUUUAAGUAGCACGCGCUCCAGCAGGUAUAUCUCUCUGGUCACCCCCAAGGCCAAUUCCUCCUUUGGCCGCCUCUCCUUCCAGUUCUCUGCUGCCAAUGACUGGAACGAACUACAAAAAUCUCUGAAACUGGAAACACUUAUCUCCCUCACUAGCUUUAAGCACCAGCUGUCAGAGCAGCUCCCAGAUCACUGCACCUGUACAUAGCCCAUCUAUAAUUUAGCCCAAACAACUACCGCUUCACCUACUGUAUUUAUUUAUUUUGCUCCUUUGCACCCCAUUAUUUCUACUUUGCACUUUCUUCCACUACAAAUCUACCAUUCCAGUGUUUUACUUUCUAUAUUGUAUUUACUUUGCCAUGGUCUUUUUUGCCUUUACCUCCCUUAUCUCACCUCAUUUGCUCACAUUGUAUAUAGACUUAUUUUUCUACUGUAUUAUUGACUGUAUGUUUGUUUAUUCCAUGUGUAACUGUGUUGUUAUAUGUGUCGAACUGCUUUGCUUUAUCUUGGC
rnacentral:lncRNA from 1 species